GCGGGGUGGAGCAGCCUGGUAGCUCGUCGGGCUCAUAACCCGAAGGUCGUCGGUUCAAAUCCGGCCCCGGC
rnacentral:tRNA from 1 species